CCGGACUUGGAGAGGAAACAGGAGGUACAGGGUCAAAGAGAGCAACAGAAGAUAUAGAUUUACAAGGCACAGAAGGAUCAUGCUGAAGAACAGUAUUCCAUAAGAUCCAAGAACAGAAGUCAGGAUAUCAAAUGUGGUGGCAGGUGCCUUUAACUACUGACUUAUCCUUCUGCCUCCAGCUUUGUGUAAUGUCUGUGAGAAGAAUUCUAAAUUUCUAUCAUGAUCUGCAAUUUGUCGCAUUGAUUUAGAUAAAAAAGUGCUGCAGACUGAAACCAACGCUAUGCACAUUUUAUGCAAUGAGUAUAUCAUGAACCUUAUAUCAACAACUCUUAUGUUUUGAGCAGAAUCUCAUUAUCAAAUUUGAUUAUCCUCUUCAAUCCUCCUGCCUCCUCUUUGUAAGUGCUAGGAUUAGGUGUGUACCACCAUGUCUGGCUAUAAGUCAUAUUCAGACAUACAGAACUUUAAAAUGUUUAAUAGUUCUCUAUAUCUAAAAUAUAUAAAAAGGUUAUAAGAUUUGAAACUCAAUGAGAUAUAAAACCAAAACCAAAAAUACAUUCUCAUAGCACACAUAGGAUUAAAGGUUUAUGUACCUAAAAGACAUUUUGCUUCAUAAAUGUUUAAAAAGUACAAAUAAAAGGUUUUUCAAUAGGUUUACAAUAAAGUGAAAUAUUCAAAUUGAGAAAUUCUUAUGAAGCAUUUAGUAGAGUUUUACAUAUAUUUUUCACUAUCCUAUGAAAUAAAUGCAA